rnacentral:rRNA from 1 species
UUUUAUUAAGAUAAAGUUUAAUUAAUUAUUAAAUGUAAAUCAUUAAAAAUAAAAAAUUUGGCGGUAUUUAUUAUUUAGAGGAACUUGUUUAUUAAAUUGAUAAUCCACGAAUAGAAAAACUUAAUUUUUUUUUAUGUAUUGUUGUUGAAAAAUUAUAUUAAUAGAUAAUGAUUAAUAAAUUUUAAUUUUUAAAUUAUAAUUCAAAUCAAAAUGUAGAAUAAUUAAGAGUUUAAUGAGUUACAAUUAAUUUAAUUAUUGAAUUUUAAAAAUUUAAUUUUAUAAAUG